GAAAAAAAAUUUCUAGGGCCGCGUCCGCGCGCCGGAGCCGGGGAGGGGCGGCUGCGCCCCCGCCCCCACACAGGGAGCCCUCCGAGGGGAGGGGGGAGCCUGCGCAGAAAAUAACAUCACUGUUCCUGUUUCCUUCUGUGGGCAUCAAGCAUUUAAGCGCCUUGAUUUCUAGCCAUUGGUAACAUGGCAAAAGAUGCUGGACUAAUCGAAGCCAAUGGAGAGCUUAAGGUUUUUAUAGACCAAAACCUUAGUCCUGGAAAAGGGGUUGUUUCAUUAGUGGCUGUUCAUCCUUCUACAGUAAAUACACUUGGAAAACAGCUCCUGCCAAAAACGUUUGGACAGUCUAAUGUCAACAUUGCACAGCAAGUGGUUAUUGGUACACCUCAGAGACCUUCAGCGCCAAAUACUAUCCUGGUAGGAAGUCCACAUACACCCAGUUCACACUUUGUAUCACAGAACCAGACUGCAGACUCUUCGCCUUGGUCUGCUGGGAAGCGCAAUAAAAAAGGAGAGAAGAAUGGCAAGGGUUUGCGACACUUCUCUAUGAAGGUUUGUGAGAAGGUACAGAGAAAAGGAACCACCUCAUACAAUGAGGUGGCGGAUGAGUUGGUUGCAGAGUUUAGUACCACGGAUAAUCACAUUUCACCAAAUGAAUCACAGGCUUAUGACCAGAAGAAUAUUAGACGACGUGUCUACGAUGCCUUAAAUGUCCUUAUGGCUAUGAAUAUUAUCUCUAAGGAGAAGAAGGAAAUCAAAUGGAUUGGUCUACCUACUAACUCAGCUCAGGAAUGUCAGAAUUUAGAGGUGGAGAGACAGAGAAGACUUGAAAGAAUAAAGCAAAAACAGUCUCAGCUACAAGAACUUAUUCUACAGCAAAUUGCCUUCAAGAACCUCGUUCAACGAAAUCGUCAAACAGAACAACAGGCAAACCGACCACCGCCUUCCAAUUCUGUCAUACAUCUGCCAUUUAUCAUUGUGAACACCAGCAAGAAGACCGUGAUCGAUUGUAGUAUUUCAAAUGACAAGUUUGAAUAUCUAUUUAAUUUUGACAAUACUUUUGAAAUUCAUGAUGAUAUAGAAGUAUUAAAGCGAAUGGGAAUGGCUUGUGGGCUAGAAUCUGGAAGCUGUUCAGCAGAGGACCUAAAAAUUGCCAGGAGUUUGGUUCCUAAAGCUCUGGAACCAUAUGUGACAGAAAUGGCUCAGGGAUCAAUCAGCAGUGUAUAUGUAACAACAUCAUCAGGUUCCACUUCAGACGUCACUAGAUUUUCUGCCAGUGACUUUACCAAUGGUGGAGACGGGAUGUUAGCAACAAGUUCCAAUGGAUCGCAGUACAGUGGCUCCAGAGUUGAAACACCAGUCUCUUAUGUUGGAGAUGAUGACGACGAGGAUGAUGACUUUAAUGAAAAUGACGAUGAUGACUGAUCCUUUUUGAUUGUAUACUUUUCAGGAAUAAAAUUAUUCUAGGGAGAGAGCGCACUCACGCGCGCUCUCUCUCUCUCUCUAUUUUUCUUUCUCUCUCAAAAUAUACAUAUAUAUCUAUAUCUAGAUAUAUAUAUUUUGCCCCGUCCCACAAGGAAAAUAUUGGUAAGCAGUUCUGAGUUUAGAAAUUGCACCUCAGAUAAGCAAAUAAGGAUUGUUUUAUGUAGGAUAUUUUUAAAUGUGGUGUGGAUGUGUGUUUUGAUACCAGUGUGUUAAUGCAGAGCCUUUAUUAUUUGCUCUUUUUUUUUUUUUUUUUUUUUACUUGAAGGAAAAUGCAUUUUCCCCCAAAUGUUAUUGCUAAGUUUGCUAAAGAAAAUGUAGCCACAUCAGUGAAGAAAUAAAAUGCUAACUUUCGGUGAGAAAUGGGUACACUGAAUGGCCAUAAGUUUGGAGUGUAUUUUGAUGACAGCCUUUGUUGAGGGAUGGCAAGCUCAUGUAGUAGUUGUGGGGAUAUUGAUAUUUUUAUUUUUAUUUUUUUUUUUUUUGUUAAUCAUGCAGUGUCCAAAGAACCAAACGAGAUCCAUUUUACUUUUUUACAUGUGAAAUUCCAUAAAUGUUGUGAAUUUAUUUUCCCUUAAAUAAUAUCUAACACGAUUCCAUCAAGUUUAUACGCUGUUUUCGCUGAAUGUUGGGACAUAUGAAUUACAAAGUUUUUGGCAAAUGUUUACUGCCAGCUGAUGCAGCUAUAUAAAAUGUCUUGAAGGUUUGGAAUGAGUUAUUGCUUAUGGUAAAAAUUGCCUGAUUUCUUACAGGCAGACUUUGGAAACUUUUUAUUAUAUAGUUGUUUACAUACUUAUAAGUCUAUCAUAUAAAGACAUGUACUGAAACAAAUGUUUGUAUUUGUUUCAUAAGCAUCUUCCUGUAAUCUAUUAUAAAGUUGAAAUUAAAUAUAGAGAAUGUUUUAAGUUUUUUAACUCAAAAUUGUCAAUCAUUUUUAAUAGUUCAUUUUUUAUAAAAGGAAUUUCAGGGCAGGUGGUAGUCUUUUAAAAUUUAUUCACAAAACAUUUAACUGCACAAAUACUGUCAGCUGCCUAUCUAAGACAGUAGUCUUUUUAUUGAAACACAAACUUUUCUGUAAUAUUUUAUGGAAUAUAAAGAGACUUUAAAAUUGUUUGACAUGUUUAACCUUGGCACUGUUAGUUUUUAUUAAUAAAACGCGCAUGGGCAUUUUUAACAAACUCUGUGUUUUUCUAAUUUAGGAUUAUUCUACCUAGAACAUUUAAUCUUAUUCAGGGGCUUAGCAGAUGUCCCCAUGGUCAAGUGGAGGCAUGAGUAUCUAGAAGAACCCAUUGGUUUUAAAUGGGUAACGAAACAGAUGUCCCGCUUCAUCAUACCCCAGGAUGCAUGUGUUCCUUUGCACUACUGAUGUGAGCAACAAUCCUUCCUUAGCAGCUGAGGCAGCCCGAUCCACUUUUGCAAGGAAGAGCAGAAGCCACAUCUGUAUCUGCACAGCCUAUCACAAUAUUUGAAUGGCAGCACAAAGACUGAUGCUCUGGAAAUGGCCAUAGAUGUACUAAGAACCUUGGAAAUGCUUCAUAAACUUCCAAGGCCCAUGUCCACUAUGUAUGCUUUACUAAUGAAGAGGAACUCCAUUGGUCUGAAGUUCUUUGUAAAAGCAUAGGAAGAGGAAUGUUAAAAAUGUUUCUGUGGAUCUGAGGUAACAAUGCUUCUGUGGAUCUGAUACAGCAAAAGAUUUUAUUCAAAAUGUAUUGGAUGUCAUAGUUUGUUCAAGAAUUGAGGGAGGGGCUUGUACUAUAUUUGUUGGUGCUGUAAUAGAACAAAAGGAGCUCUAAUGCAUAUGCUAUAGGACUUUGGCAGCUGUGGAAAGAGGUGGACACAAGUGAAAAUUAGUUCUUCGCUUCAGCAGCCAAACUUUAGCUGAAAAUUACAUCCUAGGUUACGGACCUACUACACUGUUACACCACAAAGACUUUGAUUCUUCAGGGCUACAGUGAUUACCAAGCACAUGAUUUUACAAAAAUGGAGUAGUAGUGCUAUUUGGAACUGUGAGAGUUAAGAACAAAAUAAAGAAUAGCUUUUCAAUGUACAAGGCAAAAUUAUAUUAAUUCAAAGACAUUUGGACCACAUUUCUUGAUACAUUUGAAUAAAGAAUGCUGAGAUGGCUCAAAUAAUGCCAAACUUCCGGUCCCCCUGCCCUCUCUACUUUUUCUCCUCUUCUUGAGCCUCCCUCCCUUAAUCCCUCAUUCCCUUUUUUGCGUAUUCCUCUUUUUUUUUUAAUCCACAGCCUAACAUGUUAUGUCUGCAUAAUAUUGUCUGAUUUUUGUAUUGUCUGAUCUUGCAGCUUUGACAAAUUGUAAAGUUGUCUAAUUGCAUAUUUUUAUUGGCUAUUCUGUGAAAUUUGUGGUGUU